UCCCUGGUGGCUCAGUAGUAAAGAAUCUGCCUGCCAUGCAGAAGACCCAGGUUUGACCCCUGGGUGGGGAA
rnacentral:tRNA from 1 species